AUCCACCUGGGGAGUACGCCGGCAACGGUGAAACUCAAAGGAAUUGACGGGGGCCCGCACAAGCGGAGGAACAUGUGGUUUAAUUCGAUGAUACGCGAGGAACCUUACCCGGGUUUGAACGCAUUCGGACCGAGGUGGAAACACCUUUUCUAGCAAUAGCCGUUUGCGAGGUGCUGCAUGGUUGUCGUCAGCUCGUGCCGUGAGGUGUCGGCUUAAGUGCCAUAACGAGCGCAACCCUUGCCACUAGUUACUAACAGGUAAAGCUGAGGACUCUGGUGGGACUGCCAGCGUAAGCUGCGAGGAAGGCGGGGAUGACGUCAAAUCAGCACGGCCCUUACAUCCGGGGCGACACACGUGUUACAAUGGCGUGGACAAAGGGAGGCCACCUGGUGACAGGGAGCGAAUCCCCAAACCACGUCUCAGUUCGGAUCGGAGUCUGCAACCCGACUCCGUGAAGCUGGAUUCGCUAGUAAUCGCGCAUCAGCCAUGGCGCGGUGAAUACGUUCCCGGGCCUUGUACACACCGCCCGUCAAGCCAUGGGAGCCGGGGGUACCUGAAGUCCGUAACCGCGAGGAUCGGCCUAGGGUAAAACUGGUGACUGGGGCUAAGUCGUAACAAGGUAGCCGUACCGGAAGGUGCGGCUGGAACACCUCCUUUCUGGAGCU
rnacentral:rRNA from 1 species